GCAGCGCUGGCCGUCCGCGGCCAGCGAGGAUCUCGCC
rnacentral:other from 1 species